AUUGCCUUAGUACGGCGAGUGAGCGGCAAAAGCUCAAAUUUGAAAUCUGGUACCUUCGGCCGCCCGAGUUGUAAUUUGGAGAGGGCAACUUUGGGGCCGUUCCUUGUCUAUGUUCCUUGGAACAGGACGUCAUAGAGGGUGAGAAUCCCGUGUGGCGAGGAGUGCGGUUCUUUGUAAAGUGCCUUCGAAGAGUCGAGUUGUUUGGGAAUGCAGCUCUAAGUGGGUGGUAAAUUCCAUCUAAAGCUAAAUAUUGGCGAGAGACCGAUAGCGAACAAGUACAGUGAUGGAAAGAUGAAAAGAACUUUGAAAAGAGAGUGAAAAAGUACGUGAAAUUGUUGAAAGGGAAGGGCAUUUGAUCAGACAUGGUGUUUUGUGCCCUCUGCUCCUUGUGGGUAGGGGAAUCUCGCAUUUCACUGGGCCAGCAUCAGUUUUGGUGGCAGGAUAAAUGCAUAGGAAUGUAGCUUGCCUCGGUAAGUA
rnacentral:rRNA from 1 species